ACCAAAGAAUACUCCAUCCAACAAGAAGCGAAAGCUUGGAAUAUUUCGGGCUCCAAAUUUCUUUGCGCAUGACCAUGCGCCAUGUUUGAUGUUUGAUCGUUGCUCGCAUUCAAGGUAACAGCUGUUUAUCUAUGUACAUGUGUUUGUGACAAGUGACAAUUUGUUUGUGUAAAUUUUCGUGUUUGGCGUUUUCAUAAUAUUUUAUAAUUGUUGAAAAAAGUAUAUUAAUAUUAAAAAUUAUUAAAAUAAACUAUAAUUGUGAUGGCUGCACGCAAAGGUGGAAUUUCUUGUGUGGUUCGUGGAUGCCAGACUAGAUCUGGGGAACAAAUAAGUCUUUUUUCAAUACCACGAGAUCGUAGCAGAGCUGAAUAUUAUGGCUAAAAGCUGCAAUUAGGGAAGAUUUACUUUCAAAGGAUGUCAAUGAAUUGCACAAAAAUUAUAGAAUGUGUGAGAAACAUUUUCAACCACAUUUCAUAUCGAAGGGGGAAACGUAAGAAAAAAUUUAUUUAUACAAGCUCAUCCUACGAUAUUCCCAUACAACCAAGAUGUACAAUCUGCAGAUGAACCCUUAAGAAAAAUCAUAAGACUUGAAA
rnacentral:lncRNA from 1 species